AAGAAGACACGAAUAAAUUUCAAGCAAAGUUAGGCAACCAUUGUGCUUCCAAUUUUGCUCAUUCUUGGUUGUGGUAUGGGAAUAUAGCCUAUUCGGUAUUGUAUGAUAACUUAUGUCAUGUUUGGUUGGGGGUGUAGGAAUAAGUUACAGCCCAAACCGGUGGACCCACUACUAAACCCAUGUUUGAUUUAUUGUAAAAGUUUAUUACAUCUGCUUUGAAAGCAGGUUUAUUCCAUGAAAAUGCUGAAUCCCUAAGCCCUUCACUCACAACUGAAUAACGAUUCAACACAGGUGAGACUUUCCCUUCUUCUUUUUUCCAUUUCCAAUUUACCCCUCAUCUUUCUGAAACCAUUCUCCCUACUCCCUUAUUUGCAACUGAAAGCUAAACCAAGAUAAUUAUGUUAGGUUUUUCACAAUCAAGUGUUUCUUCCCAAAAUUCUCGAGGAACCAAAAGGAAAUGGUUUCUAGAAGAAGAUGUUGCAUUGGUUGCCUAUAUGGUUGACUUGUACAAUGCUGGAACUUAUAACGAGAUACGGGAUUUAAGGCCGAUUAUUUAAAUGAGCUAGAAAAAAUGUUAGAAAAUUUUUUACCUCAUGCUAUAUUGAAGGCCAAACCUAAUCUUGAAUAGAUGAUUAGGUCAUUGAAAAGGGAUUAGACAACUCUUUACGACAUGCUUAGUGGAAAAGAAAAUAGCAGCUUUGGUUGGGACGAGCAUAGGCAGAUGGUUGUUGCUGAAGAUGCUGUGUGGAAUUCGUAUAUAAGUGUAAGAAUUAUUUUCUAUUUUUUAUUAUAUUGUUUUGACCAAACUUAUUUCUAAUGUGAAUUCUUUUUUUUUAUAGUCAUAAAGUAGUCGGUCAAUUCAGACAUUAUAGUUUCUCUUAUUAUGAUCAACUUACUUCUAUAUAUGCAAAAGAUUGAGCCAUUGGAAAAGAUGCUCAAACAGUUGCAGAUAUUAUUGAAGAAAUAGAUGCUGAGGGUGUAGCUACUGCAAAUAAUCUUGAUGAAGGAAACAAUUACCAGGGAUGCGAAGAUGAUGUUUCCUUGGAUGAUAUAGAUGUCUCAGCUACACAACCGCAACCGUCAAAGCCAAACCAAGAUAGUUCCACAUCUUCAAAGAAGAAAAAAAAAAAGAUUUAUGAUGGAAGUGAACAAAUUUCGACUUCAAUUACUGGUGCUGCUAUAUUUUUGGUGAAAAACAUAUGAACAAUUGGCCUUGAAAUUAAGUAGGAGCAUUGCCUCUGAGAAAGUGAUUUAAGAAAGUGUUCAAAAAUUAUAUUCAGUCUUAUGUGAAGUAGAAGGAAUAAUUGAGGAUAAGGGCUAUCGUGCGUUGAGCAAAAUCUCAAACCAUCCAACGCAAAUGCUAAUUUUUUUCAGUUUACUUUCUUCUGUGCAAUUGGAAUUGGUGAAAAGAUUUCUUAUUGAUCAUUAAAAAUUAUGGUUGUGUUGGUAAUA